rnacentral:SRP_RNA from 1 species
GCCAGGCAUUGUGGCACAUGCCUGUAGUCCCAGGUACUCAGGAGGCUGAGGUGGGAGGCUCGCUUGAGCCCAGGAAUUUGAGGCUGCAGUGAGCUGAGAUGGGGCCACUGCACUCCAGCCUGGGCAACACAGCAAAAUCCCAUCUCUA